UGCAUCGGCCGGGAAUCGACCCCUGGCCGCCCGCGUGGCAGGCGAGCAUUCUACCACUGAACCACCGAUGC
rnacentral:tRNA from 1 species